GACGAACGCUGGCGGCGUGCUUAACACAUGCAAGUCGAACGGAAAGGCCCUGCUUUUGUGGGGUGCUCGAGUGGCGAACGGGUGAGUAACACGUGAGUAACCUGCCCUUGACUUUGGGAUAACUUCAGGAAACUGGGGCUAAUACCGGAUAGGAGCUCCUGCUGCAUGGUGGGGGUUGGAAAGUUUCGGCGGUUGGGGAUGGACUCGCGGCUUAUCAGCUUGUUGGUGGGGUAGUGGCUUACCAAGGCUUUGACGGGUAGCCGGCCUGAGAGGGUGACCGGCCACAUUGGGACUGAGGUACGGCCCAGACUCCUACGUGAGGCAGCAGUGGGGAAUAUUGCAGAAUGGGCGGAAGCCUGAUGCAGCAACGCCGCGUGCGGGAUGACGGCCUUCGGGUUGUAAACCGCUUUCGCCUGUGACGAAGCGUGAGUGACGGUAAUGGGUAAAGAAGCACCGGCUAACUACGUG
rnacentral:rRNA from 1 species